UAUAGUUUAUUCUGAAAUAGAUACAGUAUAAACGUUCCACACGGAGGUAUAACCUGUACGUGAUUUACAUUUUAACUGAAAAAUUACAGAAUCCAUACGUCCAAAGUAUUACAUUUCCAAACAGAAAAAAUAAACACAAAAAAAAGAAACUCUCUUUUCUAACUCUUAACAUAACUAAAUUAAACUAUCAUUCGCUUAACAUUUCAAAGGAUGGAUGUUCCAUAUAAAAAGAUUGAACGCUCAUGUGACUGGGAUGUACAUAAUAAUUUAUUGAAAUCAGGCCUCAUCAACUAGGGAUUGAUAAGCGAAGCAAAGUAAGCUCUUCCCUUUUCCAUUAUCCAAUUUUUCAUUUCUCUUUUGUACGCAUAAAAACUCUUAAUUUCCUUCAGUUUUCUAGGAAUGGUGGAAUGAAUACGGGGUGCCAGCAAGCAGCAUAUCCAGUGCGAACAGUUGAUGUGGAUUCAUGAUUCUGGAGAUGUUAUACAAACCAUCGGAUGGAAACAGAAGAGGUUUGCCGUAGAUAAUUCGUAAAAGCCACUUCUGGAUGACUUCUACCCUUUUCAUGUGCCUGUCAAUUGUUACCCCCAGGUACCUGAUAUGUUCUGCCUCAGGGAUUGAAGUAUUGUUGUCAACUUUGAGAUUGCCCAUUUGUGGAAGACCUGAACUAUAAGAUGCAAACGGU